rnacentral:rRNA from 1 species
AUUGAACGCUGGCGGUAUGCUUAACAUAUGCAAGUCGAACGGCAGCACGGUAUGUAGCAAUACAUAUGGGUGGCAAGUGGCGGACGGGUGAGUAACGCGUAGGAAUCUGCCCUCAAGCGGGGGACAACCCGAGGAAACUCGGGCUAAUACCGCAUAAACUCGGAAGAGAAAAGCUGGGGUAACCUGGCACUUGAGGAGGAGCCUGCGUCUGAUUAGCUAGUUGGUAGGGUAAAGGCCUACCAAGGCGAUGAUCAGUAGAUGGUCUGAGAGGAUGACCAGCCCCACCGGAACCGAGACACGGGCCAGACUCCUGCGGGAGGCAGGAGUGGGGAAUAUUGGCCAAUGGGGGAAACCCUGAUUCAGCAAUAACGCGUGUGUGAAGAAGGCCUUCGGGUUGUAAAGCACUUUAGUUGGGGAGGAAGGUUAGCAGUUUAAGAGAUGGCUAAUUUGACUGUACCCAAAGAAGAAGCACCGGCUAACUCUGUGCCAGCCGCCGCGGUAA